AUACUUACCUGGCAGGGGAGAUACCAUGAUCAUGAAGGAAGUUUGCCCAGGGCGAGGCUUAUCCAAUGCACUCCGGAUAUGCUGACCCCUGCAAUUUCCCCAAAUGUGGGAAACUCGACUGCAUAAUUUGUGGUAGUGGGAGACUGCGUUCGCGCUCUCCCCUG
ensembl:snRNA U1 U1 spliceosomal RNA